GUGUCAGCCGCCGCGGUAAUACGGAGGGUGCAAGCGUUAUCCGGAUUCACUGGGUUUAAAGGGAGCGUAGGAGGGCAGGUAAGUCAGUGGUGAAAUCUUCGAGCUUAACUCGGAAACUGCCGUUGAUACUAUCUGUCUUGAAUACCGUGGAGAUGAGCGGAAUAUGUCAUGUAGCGGUGAAAUGCUUAGAUAUGACAUAGAACACCGAUAGCGUAGGCAGCUUGCUACACGAAUAUUGACACUGAGGCACGAAAGCGUGGGGAUCAAACAGGAUUAGAAACCCGAGUAGUCC
rnacentral:rRNA from 1 species